UACGUAGGUGGCAAGCGUUGUCCGGAUUUACUGGGCGUAAAGAGCGCGUAGGCGGAAGGUGAAGCGUGGCCUGAAAGCCCCCGGCUCAACCGGGGAGGGCGGCUGCGAACUGGCCUUCUUGAGGGCGAUAGAGGGGGGCGGAAUUCCUGGUGUAGCGGUGAAAUGCGUAGAGAUCAGGAGGAACACCCGUGGCGAAGGCGGCCCCCUGGGUCGGCCCUGACGCUGAGGCGCGAAAGCGUGGGGAGCGAACGGG
rnacentral:rRNA from 1 species